rnacentral:rRNA from 1 species
CGCGUAGGAAUCUACCUGGUAGUGGGGGACAACUUGUGGAAACGCAAGCUAAUACCGCAUACGCCCUAAGGGGGAAAGCGGGGGAUCUUCGGACCUCGCGCUAUUGGAUGAGCCUGCGUUGGAUUAGCUAGUUGGUGAGGUAAAGGCUCACCAAGGCGACGAUCCAUAGCUGGUCUGAGAGGAUGAUCAGCCACACUGGGACUGAGACACGGCCCAGACUCCUACGGGAGGCAGCAGUGGGGAAUAUUGCGCAAUGGGGGCAACCCUGACGCAGCCAUGCCGCGUGUGUGAAGAAGGCCC